rnacentral:rRNA from 1 species
UACAGAGGUCUCAAGCGUUGUUCGGAUUCAUUGGGCGUAAAGGGUGCGUAGGUGGCGCCGUAAGUCGGGUGUGAAAUCUCGGGGCUCAACCCCGAAACUGCACUUGAUACUGCGGUGCUCGAGUACUGGAGAGGAGAUUGGAAUUUACGGUGUAGCAGUGAAAUGCGUAGAUAUCGUAAGGAAGACCAGUGGCGAAGGCGAGUCUCUGGACAGUUACUGACGCUGAGGCACGAAGGCCAGGGGAGCAAACGGG